CUCGGCCGACUCGGUAAUCCCCCAACCUCAUCUCCUCGUUCUCCUCCACCGUCUUCUCCGGCCAAUGCCGACUCUGGUCACAGCUUCUAGAAUCUCUACGUGGGUCUUUUCAACAAAAAUUUACACCGACAAACUCAUUUUCGUUACUAAAUUAGGGUUAUGGUUGGUCCGCGUUUUGUUGAAAGAGAAUUGCCUUGCCAGUCGCAGAAAAGAAGCCAUUGACAAGGAUGCUAUUUACAGGUCUGGAUAAUUAAGCCCCUGCUUGACCCUCUCUCCCCUCCUAUCUCUUCAUGAAUCCAAUGUGGAGCAUAAUGGACGGCGUAAGGUGCACAGUGCAUGAUGCUCGGAGGUAUCAUCCCUAGGAUUACAUGGUAUAUUCCGCCUCAGCUGGCUUUGGAAUUUCUGAGGGACCAUUUCAAAUUUUCAGUGAAGGAUUAAGCAAUGAUAACAUGCAAGAAGUUGCUACCAUCCAUGCCAGUAGAAGUCUUUACAAAGGAGAGCAAGAGGAACUUACUGAAAAUUUUCCCGUCAUGUCCAGUUUGUUGGACAGAUUGGGGCAUUUUUCAUGUAUCAAGUAAUAAUUGGUAGGAGGGUUUCAAAGUCUGCCAACUUUUAGCGGCGGUUUUUAUCUUCGCCAGUAAAAGUUGUAUUUCCUACGGUUAGCGACGGUUUUUUCUGUUUCUAAAGGCAUUUUGCAAAAUUGGGAAAUAAUUUUCGUCACUAAAUGUGACAAAACCGGUGCCAA